GUGCUUUGCCCUAUAAAUACUUUAACAGAGAAUUGCACCCUUCUAACACCUCACAAAGGAAACUGUUAACUGAAUCCCUUCCUACACGUCUGUGUUCUGUAGCCACGUCCCUGUGUGAGAAUACUGAAGGCUGAGAAAGAGCAAAACUGCUGAACUGAGCUCAUGCUCAAACACUUUGUGUCACUCUGAUAAACACUCCUGUCCUCUCAGCAGCUACUCUGCUCCCCUCUCCAGUGUGCUGGGAGACAGCAGCCUGGCAGCAAUGGCCCUACCCUUCUGUGCAGGGCACAAUCACAUCUGAAGAGAUUCCCCAGCACUGGUGAGGCAGCAGAGCCUGGGAUCCUGUUACUCUCACUCCCCUCUUCUGCUGCCAAUUCCUGUGGAGUGGGGGCACCCCAAUUCCUGCAGGGCAGCCACAGCACCCAGCAGGAGUGGGAUCCCCUGCAGGUACCCUUAAUGCACCAGGACACGCCUGCCCUGGUGUGUGAGUACCUGUGGGGAGCAGAAAGCCACAGAACAAACUGGGAUCCUCUCAGAUAUGGAACUUGUUCAGUGUAA
rnacentral:lncRNA from 1 species